rnacentral:lncRNA from 1 species
AGAGAGAGCUGAGCAAAGACGGGAGGAGACAAGGAAAGGAGAGAAGUGACGGGGCGGGGCUGGCCUAGAUGGUUGACGACGGUGGCUUUGGCCUCUCCAGCGACUCGGUCACCGGCCAACACGGGGACUGGUCAGGGAAGCGAUCGGGAGCUGCUCCAAGGAUCCAGAUUGGAUCGAGGAGGUUGCGGGAGCAGGGAAGCUGCGGGGCUGGAAGAGGUGCCCUGGGCCAUUGGAUGUCAGAUCCGGUGGUCCAUAUCGAGGAGGCUGACUGGCCGGUUGGAGGAAUGGAGCUGGCUGGCUGGAGGCUGCGGGACAAGACACCUAGGAGUUGGGGUUUGUUCCUAAUUAGGUAGGGAUGGCCUAUAAAUAUAGAGGGGAAGUUAGAUUAGGGGUUAUUUGGACCCUUCAAUUUGAAUCGGACGGUCGAAAAUAACUAGGUUAGCGAGUCAAAUUGACAAACCGAU